rnacentral:lncRNA from 1 species
CAGUGUACAAAACGCAAUUGAAUUUGUUCUUUAUGUCCUUACAUUAUCUAUCCCAAGGAACUCUGUCAAUGAACUGUAUUACUUUUUAAUAUGAUCUUAUAAGUAAUUAAAGACAUUGGCAAAGCCACAAUAGCCUGCUUAUUUUCCAUUAUCUAGUUUCCUCAUAAACAUAUGCUGGUCUCAUCUCUCUCACUCUUCUUGCUCAUGCUUGCUUUGGUUGCCCCAAUUUUCCUCAGAUUGUAAGUAUUUAUCUUGACUUCUGUCGUUGUACAAGUUUCUUAUCGGUAAUCUCCUAAUUUGUGAACAUGACUUAAUUCUAUGAUGCUUAGAUCUGGUUGUUUAUUGGAACUGAAUUUUGUAAAUUGAAAAUAAUGGGAGCUUUAAUGAUUGAUUAAUUUGCUUCUAGAUACUAUGCUGACAGUGAUUUGGUAUUUGUCUGAUUAUCUCUGUAAUUCGCCCAAGUCAAUCAAUAAAUAAUCUGUUUCCUCUGCUAUUCCUCUAUUUGUUUGCUUGUUUCAUUGUUAGGAAAGAAACGUUUCCUAACAGAUUACAUGUCAAUUGCAGCCAUUGGAAGGACAAAAAAUUC